AGAAAUUCGGCAAAAUAACAUUGUAACUUCAGGAGUAGGGGUGCCUCCUCACAAAGGGAUUAAUGCAAUGACUAAGCUCGGACAACUAUUCACCAAAAACACAGGUCUCCGAAAAAUCAUAAUAUCAUAUAUUGGGGACUGACGCCUUCUUAGUCGUGGCAUGUUGACAGGAGAGCGGGCCACCAAAGUCUCAGUGAUCGAACAACGGCCUUAACUAUAAUGGUCUUAAAGUAGCUAAAAUUCCUUGCCCAGUAAGUUCCCACCCGCAUAAAAAGCCUACGUGAUUAUCAAGUCAAUCGUCU
rnacentral:ncRNA from 1 species